GACGAACGCUGGCGGCGUGCUUAACACAUGCAAGUCGAACGAUGAUGCCCAGCUUGCUGGGCGGAUUAGUGGCGAACGGGUGAGUAACACGUGAGUAACCUGCCCUUGACUUCGGGAUAACUCCGGGAAACCGGGGCUAAUACCGGAUAUGAGCCGUCCUCGCAUGGGGGUGGUUGGAAAGUUUUUCGGUCAGGGAUGGGCUCGCGGCCUACCAGCUUGUUGGUGGGGUGAUGGCCUACCAAGGCGACGACGGGUAGCCGGCCUGAGAGGGCGACCGGCCACACUGGGACUGAGACACGGCCCAGACUCCUACGGGAGGCAGCAGUGGGGAAUAUUGCACAAUGGGCGAAAGCCUGAUGCAGCGACGCCGCGUGAGGGAUGAAGGCCUUCGGGUUGUAAACCUCUUUCAGCAGGGAAGAAGCGCAAGUGACGGUACCUGCAGAAGAAGCGCCGGCUAACUACGUGCCAGCAGCCGCGGUAAUACGUAGGGCGCAAGCGUUGUCCGGAAUUAUUGGGCGUAAAGAGCUCGUAGGCGGUUUGUCGCGUCUGGUGUGAAAACUCGAGGCUCAACCUCGAGCUUGCAUCGGGUACGGGCAGACUAGAGUGCGGUAGGGGAGACUGGAAUUCCUGGUGUAGCGGUGGAAUGCGCAGAUAUCAGGAGGAACACCGAUGGCGAAGGCAGGUCUCUGGGCCGCAACUGACGCUGAGGAGCGAAAGCAUGGGGAGCGAACAGG
rnacentral:rRNA from 1 species